UACGGGGGGGGCAAGCGUUGUUCGGAAUUACUGGGCGUAAAGGGCUCGUAGGUGGCCAACUAAGUCAGACGUGAAAUCCCUCGGCUUAACCGGGGAACUGCGUCUGAUACUGGAUGGCUUGAGUUUGGGAGAGGGAUGCGGAAUUCCAGGUGUAGCGGUGAAAUGCGUAGAUAUCUGGAGGAACACCGGUGGCGAAGGCGGCAUCCUAGACCAACACUGACACUGAGGAGCGAAAGCCAGGGGAGCAAACGGG
rnacentral:rRNA from 1 species